rnacentral:rRNA from 1 species
GACGAACGCUGGCGGUGUGCUUAACACAUGCAAGUGGUGCGACGAACCAGAGCUUGCUCUGGGGCAAAGCCGCGAACGGGUGAGUAACACGUGGGUAAUCUACCCCGAUGACCGGGACAACCCGAGGAAACUCGGGCUAAUACCGGAUGUGGUACGGAGACAUAAGUCUCUUUACUAAAGGUAGCUUCGGCUUCCGCAUUGGGAGGGGCCCGCGGCCCAUUAGCUAGUUGGUGGGGUCAAGGCCUACCAAGGCAACGAUGGGUAGCUGGUCUGAGAGGACGAUCAGCCACACUGGGACUGAGACACGGCCCAGACUCCUACGGGAGGCAGCAGUGGGGAAUCUUGCGCAAUGCGCGAAAGCGUGACGCAGCAACACCGCGUGAGGGAAGACGGGCCUUAGGGUUGUAAACCUCUUUCAGAUGGGACGAAGGUGAUGCGGUGAAUAGCCGAUGUCAUUGACGGUACGUCAGAAGAAGCUCCGGGCUAACUACGUGCCAGCAGCCG